rnacentral:rRNA from 1 species
UACGGAAGGCAGCAGUGGGGAAUAUUGCACAAUGGGCGCAAGCCUGAUGCAGCCAUGCCGCGUGUAUGAAGAAGGCCUUCGGGUUGUAAAGUACUUUCAGUCGUGAGGAAGGUGUUAAGGUUAAUAACCUUAGCAAUUGACGUUAGCGACAGAAGAAGCACCGGCUAACUCCGUGCCAGCAGCCGCGGUAAUACGGAGGGUGCGAGCGUUAAUCGGAAUUACUGGGCGUAAAGGGCACGCAGGCGGUUAAUUAAGUUGGAUGUGAAAUCCCCGGGCUUAACCUGGGAAUGGCAUUCAAGACUGGUUAGCUAGAGUCUUGUAGAGGGGGUAGAAUUCCAUGUGUAGCGGUGAAAUGCGUAGAGAUGUGGAGGAAUACCGGUGGCGAAGGCGGCCCCUGGGACAAAGGACUGACGCUCAUGUGCGAAAGCGUGGGGAGCGAAACAGGGAUUAGAU